rnacentral:lncRNA from 1 species
GGCACUCAUGGCUGUGCCUCGGUGCUUUCCUGUUGAACAUAAAUGAUUUCACAGAACAUUAAUAUGAGACAAGAUCACUCUGUGACUAUGAUAGAUCAAGACACAACAACAACGAAGAUAGCAAACAGACCAUUCCAGAAUCAUGCCUAAAUAGAGACAAAACAUGCAUAUCAUCCGAGCUGCAAAAUACAAAAAUCUCUCUUCCUCAGGUAAUAUGAGUGGCUGCUUUUUUUAUUAUUAUUAAUUACUGCUUUAGCAUCUAGAAUGCCCUCCCAUAGGUAAGAUUUAUUGAGGUACCAAUCAUAGAAUGACCUUCCCUUCUUGACUGCAGCCAACAGAGACCAAUUCCCUAUUUCACUAAAUCCUUUCAAAACCACCAAGCAAAGCUCACAUCCUAUAAUAGGUUCUUUCUGACACCCUUUACUGGGACACCUGGCAAUUCUCCAUGGUGUGUGUGUACUCCCUCACGGUGACAAAUGAGAAACCCAACUUACUUAAGUGCAGGUGAGCUCUUGGAGGCCUUUGGCUGCAGGGCACCGACAUCUCACAGCCCAGCAUGUGGUGACAGACUUGGGGCCACUGGGUUCAAUAGAGUCAACAGUCAGGAAGAAGAUUUGGAUGAAAACAGAAGACAGUGAGGACUAAAGGCCAGGAGAAAAGAAAUGGAAGUAUACUGUUGUGAGGAUUUUGUACUAUAUGAAGGGGCAAUAUAUCACUUGAAGGGUGCCUGUGAUAUAUACUACUAUAUAUCCUGAAGCAACUACUAAAAUAAGCAAACAAAGAAGGUAGUAAGAAAGGAAAAAGACAAAUAGUCAAUGGGAGAAAUCACCUGGCAGCUCUGCACCUUACCUGCUUCCUCCUCUGAAAUCUUUGGUUGCCACCUAGCUUUUGCCUCCUUAGGUCUCAGGAAAGGAUCUCUGUUGGUUCCUCUUAUGCAGAGCCAUUGGGGAAAGUCGAAUGGGCAUUCCUGCCUUGUUUGAAGAAUCCUCUGUAUUCUCACUGCAAGGUGCAGAGAAGGCUGGGUGCUUCCCAGGGGCUUGUGCCGUCUGUCCAGAGUGAAGAGCACCCCUAGUGGUCCAGCCAGGGACUGCAUCCACCAGCCCUCUCAUCCAAGUGUGGCCAUUGGAUCUUGCCCAUAUUAUGUGGAAAGAAUAAACUUUCUCAGCCUAGAAUUUGAGCCCAGCCAGAUCCUCUCUUGGGUUGGAGAUGAUGAGUGCUUGUCUACUCUUAGCGUCCUGCAGACCAAGACAGGCAGUGAAGCACCUGGCCGGCCUGACACUGAUGGUGCAUUUGCUGUGGAUCCCAGCAGGCCAUGACUUUGCAUCCAUCAGUCCAUCAUGGACUGGGAGACAGUAAGAGGUGGCUGUGGGAGUGAGCCUCCAAAAAGCUAUGAAAACAUUUUAUUGAAAAGUCAACACAUGAGAUGAUGUUCAGAUUUUGUUUCUCAAAUGUUUAUAUAUUUUAUAAUCAUGCAGCUAAUUGUUGAAAUUCUGUAGAGACUUGUGUCAGCAGAGAAAAGAUUUUCUAGUCAGCUUUCCUUUUUAAGCAAAAUCUUGCACGGAUUUCACUAUGUAAAUUGCACCCACGGAAGGCUGCCUUGGUGGAAGAAAGCAGGACUCCUGGUUUCCUGGGUUCAGGCUCAGUCUCACACUGCCCCCCCAGUGACCGCAGCACCCCAACCCCCAGGGAUCAGCAUGAUCAGGAGCUGGGAACAGGUGGACACAUCCUGGGGCCUAGUUACAAGUGCUUGUAGUCACAGUUUGUGACGGCCCCAAAGGAUUUUACAUUAAAAAUUCUAUACAGAUUAGUAGUCUUCCCAACAUAGAUUGGGGAAUUAUUUUAGAAAGGUUGAGGGGCAUGCCCAAAGUCACACAGCUGAAAGAGGAGUCAAUAUGAUCACCCAGGUCUGUCACCAUUUGGUUCAAGUUGUGUUUACACCACCAUUGCUUGCCAUUAAACAACUGUACCAUGGGCAGAGGGCCAAAUUAUUGCACGUUGCUCCAUUGCUCAAUGUGACUGUUGUGCCAGCAUAGCCCUAAUAAAGACGUCUGCAUACAAGAAGGGGCUGUGGGAAAGUGCUCAGGGUCAGGAAUCCAGAUGAAAAGAGGCCCUAAGAGUCUUUUGGAUUUCCUAGGGCUUCUUACACUAGGAUGUCAUGAUAAAUGACUUUAUCUUUUUAUUCUGAUACUGUUUUUGGUUGUGACAUUUUCAGAACUUUGUUGCUCACAAAAGUUCACAAAUACAACUACAAAUCUCUACAUAAUGCUCAUAUAAUAAUUAAAUUAGCUUUUCUUCUCUUUAGAAUCAAUGGGACACCAUUUAUAUUUCUCUUAGUUGCUCAGAGCUAUAUAAAAUACACAUAGCUUUAAAUCUAACUGUUAUGCCAUGGCUCUAACUGGAAAUAUAAUUACUUUAAGGAGUCACAAAAAUGGUUAAUUAAAAAAUAAACUUGACUGAAAGUUAAAUUUGGAUUUUCUUGGCAAAUCAACAAAAACGAAGCUGCCAUUGUUAUUGUACAACAAUGCUUAUUUGCAAGUCUUUCUCUUCUAUUUUAUUGUAAUUUUCUAUGAGUAACAUAAGCAUUUCUUAGUAAAUGAAUGAAGGAAUUUAUUAACCAUGAGUAAAUGAUUGUAUACCUUUAAAUAAAUUGGCUUUGAGUUUAUACAGCAUCCACAUUAAAAUAAGCUAGGGUAGUGUCCUAAAGGGUUAAGAC